rnacentral:sRNA from 1 species
UUGAAAUCAUUCAUUAUUCAUGCUUACGAUUUCAGAGCAACACUGCCACAAGGUCUGUAAGGGGAAAUGUACUGUACUACUGUACUGCCAACAGACCUUCAAAAUUACUCAGACUAUAAGGUGUCGGACCAUCACUGGAUUACUUGAGAGAAUAAAGAUAGGACCAAUCCAAGACAGUUUUAUUUUGUGCUGAUGAAUCUUAUCAAUGGACAUCCAGCUAAAGCAUCUAUCCAGAACGAGUGGCUAAAAUUAAUAUGCAACAAGGCAGAGCCACAAAACAGUCAAGUAAAGACAUUUGUCCGAAUCAAAGGUCAUGGAAACAAGACUGUCCAGCAUUGAUUCGUGCACUGAUACGGCAUUUGGAUGUUACUGGCUACUAAUUCAUAAUCACAAAGGCACGACUGUCACAUGAAAAUCAUCCCACAGAUCAUAAACUACACUUGUGUAUCCAGAGAAUAGGCGAAUAAAGCCAGAUGAAACUGUGGAUCUGAUGGUUGGCACUAAAAUCCUACAGUCAGAAUUGAGACAAAUCAUCUCGCAGAAACAGAAUAAAUGUGUUCUUGUGAAAGAAGUUGAAAAUUAUAUAAGAAAACUUCAAGACCUCUGCACUGACAGUGAAGGAGUAGAAAUAUUAUUAACACUAUAAAGCAUGUCCCAGUAUUGAAAGCUACUUUCAAAAUAAUUGGUGGUCAAUUUCUGACAUGUGGGCAGCAUGUAGAAAUACAGAUGUUGCAUCUUUACACAUCACAACUACAAAUCAUGUAGAAUCAUAUUCAAGGAUAAAAAAAAGCACCUAGAUAGCCACACAACACUGUGAGUAUGCCUAAUUAAGCUACUUUUGUUUGAUUCAUACGUGUCUAAAUUAAAAUCAGCACAACACCACAUUCACAAAAUAACUAAACAUUAUUCAACACUACCAGACACACAUUUGCUUACUUUGUACAAGAAUAUACUGGCAACAUUUGGAGCAGAGUUAGUGGGCCAUCAGAUUACUUUAUUUAAAAGAGGUAACUACAACAUAGCUCAAAAUGAUGCAGACACAUCAUUUCUUUUCUAUUUCUAAUACUAGUAAUUCUAAUGAUACCAAUUCUUAUGUGGUUAGCAUAGAUUCUUGCAAUUGUAUUUCUUCACUAGAUUUUUAUUGCCUUGCAGACAUAUUCUUUCUUUGAGACAUAAACUUUCUUCAGAAAUGAUUUUUCUUCCAGCUGGCUGCCAUUUCCAAAAAUAAAUCUUUUAGGGAUGAAGAAUUUGAGUACACAUCAUCUAUCUCAACUAAUGUAAUUUAUCCAACCAUUAGUGCUAAGGGCAAUUUAAAAUUGUGUAGGACCAGAAAAAUGAACUAAACUGUAUCAGAAUCUGGGGGAACAACAACUUUUUGUAAAGCUUGAACAGUUAAAGAUGUGUAUUUAUCCUAUCAUAGUAAGUGAGGAAUUUGUUAUUACUAAUGUGAAACAAGGCCUUGGCUGAAACAAAUAUUAGUAUAAAUGGUGAGUGUGUUGGUGAAGAGUUGGUUCCAAUUACCACAACUUCUCAGGAAGUGUCCUGUCUUUUCAAUGAUAAUUAUGAGCAGAAUGUUGAAAUAGUCACAAGUGCUAUUCGUGCUCAACCCUUUGUAGUUCAUAGUAGUGAAAACAAUCUGUCUGGUAGUGAUAUUGUUGACUCAUCUAAAGUUACCACUGAUACAUUUAGUAAUGUAAUGUUGAGUACAAACUAAAGGAAGACCUAAUAAUAAACAACACUUCACAAAGAAAAAAAAAGACUAGGUUUCCCUUACAGCUCAGUUAGUCAAAAACUUAAAAUUGUUAGAAGUAAUGAAAACGAAGUGGUUGCUGAUGUGAAAUGUUCCAGUGCCAAUGAUGUGAAUGUUUUUGUUGAAAACCAUGUUGUAUGUUUAGAAAACAAACAUAUUGGUGAUGACUGUGCUGAAUGUGGACUGGUAGCGGUUUCAAAGAGAAUUGUAUAGAUGGGAAGUUGAUGAACUGGAUUGGUUGUAUGGUAUGUGAUAGGUGGUGCCAUGAGCUCUGUUCAUCAAGUAGAUUCCUUUAUGUGUAAAUUUUGCAUCUAAAAUGUUUUAAGUAAAACAGUUUUUUUAAAUCUAUUUAUAAAAUAAAUUUAUUUAUAAAAUACCGGGCAUUCAUAUACAUAUUCGUUGUUGACUUGAGUUUAUUUUUUCAUUUUACUUUGACUUUAUAAUACCUACCUGGAGAAUUAAAUGUGUAACUCGGUUCUACCUUUAAUAUCUAAAUGUAAUAUUGUAUCAGUAAUACUAUUGUUUGUUAAUAUGCUAUUUACUUAGCACAUAUAUUUGCUGUUAUGCACUUUUUUUUUAUCAAACUCUUCUAAUACAUAUUGAAUUGCUUAUACAAGUCUAUAUACCGGUAUUUAAUAUUGAAUUUGACAUUGUUUAUCUGGGGAAUUAUGUGUAAUAUAUUUUUUAGCUGUAACAGUGUAAUGUAACAUUGUACCAGUAUUUUUAGGUUUUUGUAUGUUGUUGACUUAGCACUUAGCAUAUUUUUUCUAUUAUUUUACAAGUUUUAUUUAUCAAGUUAUUUUGAUGCAUGUUACAUUGUUUACAUAUUGCAAUAACUUAAGGGAGGCAACUCAACGAGGUAUAGAUGUUUAUUUACAUGGAGACAU